CUUGGUUUUAUCCCCUACAGUCGCUAUGCUACAUGUAAAUAUUAACCAACUGGUGAGUCACUUAUCAACUCCAAUUAUCCACCACCUUCUUUUAUUUAUUUUUCCUCUUUUGUCGCCUAAGUUUCUUCUCUAUGCAUCUGCAUAUGAAAACAUACCAAUUUUCUCCAAAAAAAAUAAUCUUAUUAUUUUUAUGAAUUUUUUACUCAAUUAGCCAGCUUGGUUGAAGAGGCAUUGCACCUAGGCCUCCAGGACUAGACAACUUCUUCACAAAGGUUGUCGCUCCCUAGGACAACCUAGCCAGUUGGACAACUUCUUAUCUUACUUGCAUCCUUCUUUGGUAUCAAUUAUUGUUUUCAUGCCUACAUUGCAAGGUACAAUGGCUAUUGACUUUUCUUCUUGUUUGUUGUUUGUUUGUGGGUUUAUAUAAAUCUUAGAAUAAGUAUCAUUAAGAUAAGUAAGCACUUCCUUAUUACUUAUAAAUCUUACAAUAAGUACCAUAAACAUAAGCAAGCACUUUCGUAUUACUUCACACAAAACAAACUUUGCUCGGAUGCAAAACAUACCUCAAAGGCAACUUAAUAUAGUUCGACUGCAUAUCUUUUGAUCAGGGCCAAGUUUAAAACUUUUAAAACCUACAGUCGCAAAAACAUUUUAACAUAGGUGAGGAGUGAAGAUAUCCUUAGACAAGCUCUGCAUAUUUUGGACCAUAAUUAACAGCACUAUUAGAACAGCAAUCAUCUAUAAUCUUCUGGAUUAGAAUGUUGAUCAUAAUUUUGCAGAGUAAGGUACUGUCAUAAUUUUGAAUUGGACACUAUGACAGAAGCACCAUUGUCACCCUUCCAAUUAUUCAACAUAGUCAUGAUCUGGGGUGCAAUUAGUUUACAGGGGUCCUAUACAUAGUCUAGUUCAGUCAACUAAGAAGUUUAGGACCUUCAAGGCACAAACUUCUCAAUUAAGAUUUUCAAAGUAGUUAAUAUAAAAGUGAUAUUUCUUCUAUUUAAAUAAGUAAAGGCAGGAUAAUCUACUAGAACAGGCAAUACUUACAAAGUAGGAGAAUUAGGUAGUUUGAUAGAAAUGACUUUUCACAAUUAGAAACAGCAUGAUGAUUCAAGGGACCCUCUCCAUAUUCUUAGUAAUUUAGGUGGUUUUUAGUAGAUCCAUUCUAACAAUUUAAAGUUAUAUGCCUAUAAUGUAUAUAACUAGUCGUUCAGUUUUCUUGCUCUAUGCCAUUGAUUUGGAUGGCAACCAAGGUAAUAAAAAUGUAUCACUUUGUGGUACUUUUCACGAGAGUGAAUUCUUGAAUUAACCUAGAAAUGGAAGUCUGAUGGAGUUAUUACCCAAAAUUGUGUGUUUAUUUCCUCCCAACGUCCAAUCAUAAACAUGGCUGAAAUAAAUUUCUAUUUGAUCAUGUACAAUGACAGCUAUUUUGAUUACAAAUUCCAAUUAUGAUUAUAAUUCCCAACAUAGAGAAGCUUCAGUUCAAAAUCGAACCUUUACAUAAAUCAAAACUAUCAUAGAUAGACGCCCCAUAGCACAUCAAAAGCCAAGGAAAAUCCAACUUUGCAAAAACCAGUUCAAUUCUUCCGGCAGAAAACCUUUUCUCAUAGGAAUUGAAAUCUAACCGUUCAAAGUAUAUAAUUUAAGGGGAAAGGAAGGCAUGAAAAGGGUUGACCAAAUACCGGAAGUCGAUACGAAGAUCCCUGCGGAAACAGCGUUGCAGAAGAGAUCGUGGGGUGAGAGAAGGAGAAAGAAGAGGAAGCCGGCGAAGAAUUUCGCGGCUACCAUCGAAGGGAGAAGAGUGCUUCUAGCCUCCGGCUUCGUUGGGAUCUCUCUCGGCGACAGGGCGUCAAAGCCGCGAGGUGGCGGCUGAGGUGGAGUGGAUCGGCGGCGGAGGCGGAGCAGACGCCUCGGAACCGGAAAGAGGAAGCCUCGUGAACGCGGAGGUGGUCUUGGGGAUGGAGUCAAGGAGGAAGACCCGCGAAAUCGGCGAAAGCUG
rnacentral:lncRNA from 1 species